GGGACUACGGCGCCAGACAGCACGAGGAGUGCUGCUCACGACCGUGCGCUCCUACCCUAAGUACCAAGGCCUGAGCAGGUCCAGGAGAAGGUAGAGCUAAGGGCGGUCCCAACAUCCGCACCGGCGCCAGGGCAUACCGGCCCAGCCCUACGGCCCAGGCCUCACCUUGAGCUGAGAGCUGUCGGACACUGUUCACGAACUGCUCCAGAGCAGACGCCAUGUUUCCCCGCUGGUGGCCAAAGCAACAGAGGAGAAGGCCAUCAGCAUCUGGGAGUCGAAGGAUUUCUUCUUUGAACUUGAGCCCCUUCCUGGAGCUGUGGAAGCUGUGAAGCAUAUGGCCAGUCUGCAGAAGUAGUACGUACACCACCUUCUAGCACCGUAAACACCAGCCGGUAGCAGUGAAGCUUCUAGUAUGCCUGGGUGGAGAAGCACUUUGGCCCUGACUUUCUAGAACAAAUUGUGUUGACCAGAGACAAGACCGUGGUCUCUGCCGACCUUCUCAUAGAUGACCGGCCAGACAUCACAGGGGCCGAGUCACACCCCAGCUGGGAGCACAUCCUCUUCACCUCCUGCCACAACUACCACCUGCAGCUGCAGCCCCCUCGCCGCAGGCUGCACUCGUGGGCAGAUGACUGGAAGGCCAUCUUGGACAGCAAACGGCCACGCUGA
rnacentral:lncRNA from 1 species